rnacentral:lncRNA from 1 species
GGCUACUUCUAUAAAAUUCUCAUCUUUUACCUUGAUGACAUUUUAUUUUGGGAAAAGAAAGGAGCAGAGGGAGAAAAUUCCCUUUUUUAGGCCACCAAAAUCAUAAUUUGGUAGCAUCUAAUCCCUCCACCAGCUUGAUUGUUAGUCGGUUUUAGUACUGUUGCCGUUCCAAUCUUAUUUGUAUUAUUCCAUCAUUUAUAAAUUGUGUGA